rnacentral:rRNA from 1 species
CUACGUAGGGGGCAAGCGUUGUCCGGAUUUAUUGGGCGUAAAGCGCGUGUAGGCGGCCAGAUAGGUCUGCUGUGAAAACUCGAGGCUCAACCUCGAGCUGUCGGCGGAAACCAUCUGGCUAGAGUCCGGAAGAGGAGAGUGGAAUUCCUGGUGUAGCGGUGAAAUGCGCAGAUAUCAGGAAGAACACCUAUGGCGAAGGCA